rnacentral:misc_RNA from 1 species
AGCAUUAGUUAAUAUUUUAUUCAUUUGGAAGAACCUCUUCAUACAUUGAUACCAGGAAGGGAUAAAGGUUCCAAACUUCACCCAUAAUUCAGGUUAAUUUUUCAAUGAUUUCCAUGAUGGCUUCAUCAGAACUUCCUCCAAGUUCAGUAGAUUUCCUAGCUUCUUCCCCAACCUUCUUGGCUCUGUUCCUGAGCUCUGCAUCAUCCAUCAGCUCCACAAUCUUUUUACCUAUCUCUUCGUGCUUCACCAACCUUUCAGUCCCCAUACCCCAUGUCUUCUCCAUUAUUCCCAGCCCUGCCUUCUGCAAAACUUCCGCAUUCACCCUUUGAUCUCCAUGCAGAGGCCAUGCCAAUACAGGUACUCCUCGUUCAGCUGAUUCAGUCACAGAGUUCCAUCCACAAUGACUUAUGAACCCUCCGGUAGCAGGAUGAGCUAGAAUCUUGUCCUGAUUCACCCACCCCUUCACCACCAUCCCCCUAUUCUCUAUUCUUUCCAAAAACGACUCUCCCAGCAGCUCUUCCAAACCUGCUUUAUCUUCUUUGUCAACUUUGGUUGUCUUAACUACCCAUAAGAAUCUACAGCCACUUUUGUCUAAUCCAUAUCCCAAUUCUCUUAUUUGAUCAUUAGACAUGGCUGUCCUGCUUCCGAAACUCACAUAAACUACAGAUUUUUCUGGUUGGUCGUCAAGCCAUAGCAGGUACGGGCUCUGGUCCUUCUGAAGCUCAUAAGCUUGUACUGGUCCGAUGGGUAUAACUGGAGGGAGAUUGCUUAAAACUUUACCAUUGUUUAGAGCAGCAAUCGUUUCAGCUUCGAACCAGUCAAAGGUGUUAACCAUAAUUCCUUUGGCUUCUGGGACAACUCCGACAUUUGCUAUUAUACUUGCUGCAAGAAGAUGAUUUGGGUUCAGGAAUGGUAGAGGAAUACUUGCUAUAGAAAAUGGAGUCAAGCCUGGAAUCUCUACUUGAACAAUGCUACUAUUGAAUUUAUCAGGAUUGGACACAAGAACUGGAAGGUGAAGCAUGAAAGAUAGAAAUCUAGCAGAGGUGGUGAUGACUAGAUAGUAAGGAAUACGAAGAUCAGCAGAAAUACGGGCAACACUUUUAGCUACCAGCAAAUCACAGAAGAUGGCAGAGAGAGGCGGAGAUGAGGAAGACAAUAAAGGAUGGAGAAGAUGGGCAGAGCGGCUAAUAGCGUUAUAUUGAAUCAAGAAAGGAUCUUGGGCAGAUGGAUUGGAGGAGUGAAGAGGAAUAACAUCGAAUUCAAGAUGCUUGACUCGAGGAUGUGUGGUUAGAAAGAAAGAGAUGUGGUCAGAUUCUGCAUUAGACACAGUGGAUUUGGCAGUAACAAGAGUGACAUUACAGUUUCGAGAUAAAAAGCAGCGAAGCUAGCCGGAGGAAAGGGGUGAGAUGGCCCAUUCCGGCAGAUGGAAUGAGCGCAAUAUGAGGGGAAGGUGUAUGGGAAGGCAACAUGAUCGAUGCUGUCGAUAUAAUCUCAGGUUGUAAACUUGUAAUCAGUAAGUUCAUAUGUGGAGUCUUGUCGAUUGAGCAUAUGAUAAAUUUCACCAAACAGAAAGCAAUUGAAAAUUAU